AACGAACGCUGGCGGCAUGCCUAACACAUGCAAGUCGAACGAUUAUGGAACUAGCUUGCUAGAACCCAGAUAGUGGCAGACGGGUGAGUAACGCGUGGGAAUCUUCCUAGUAGUACGGAAUAGCCGUUGGAAACGACGAAUAAUACCGUAUAUUCCCUGAGGGGGAAAGAUUUAUCGCUACUAGAUGAGCCCGCGUUAGAUUAGCUAGUUGGUAGGGUAAUGGCCUACCAAGGCAAUGAUCUAUAGCUGGUCUGAGAGGACGACCAGCCACACUGGAACUGAGAUACGGUCCAGACUCCUACGGGAGGCAGCAGUGGGGAAUAUUGGACAAUGGGCGAAAGCCUGAUCCAGCAAUGCCGCGUGAGUGAAGAAGGCCUUAGGGUUGUAAAGCUCUUUUAGUAGGGAAGAUAAUGACGGUACCUACAGAAAAAGCACCGGCUAACUCCGUGCCAGCCGCCGCGGUAA
rnacentral:rRNA from 1 species